CUUUCCUUGACGACGACUGGCGCACGGGUGAGUAACGCGUAUCCAACCUUCCCAUGACCACGGGAUAACCCGUUGAAAGACGGCCUAAUACCGUAUGACGUCGUUUGCCGACAUCGAAAGACGACCAAAGGUUUGGCGGUGAUGGAUGGGGAUGCGUCUGAUUAGCUUGUUGGCGGGGUAACGGCCCACCAAGGCUACGAUCAGUAGGGGUUCUGAGAGGAAGGUCCCCCACAUUGGAACUGAGACACGGUCCAAACUCCUACGGGAGGCAGCAGAC
rnacentral:rRNA from 1 species